CAAGUAUAGAUAGAUAGAUAGAUAGAUAGAUAGAUAGAUAGAUAGAUAGAUAGAUAGAUAGAUAGAUAGAUAGAUAGAUAGAUAGAUAGAUAGAUACUUUAUUGUAAUUAUAAAACAACACAUGCUUUAUUACUUGAAUACAUAUGGUAGUCUUCCAUAUCUUUUUACCACUUAGUAAAUUACUAUUAGCAUAUCUGAAAUCAACACAACAGUUUCAUAAACAUUAAUACUAGUGUGCACUUUGAAAUGAAACUGUUUGCUGAAAAUUGAAACUCAAAAAAAAGUAAAGCUUUUUUUAUGCUCUCUGUUUGCUGGAACCACACUUCUGACAAAACUGUGAUCAGGCAGUUAAAGUACCUAUGACAAAAAAUAUAAAAAAUGACUUUUUUAAAUCAAAAUCAGCAUUUAAAACAAGAAUGUCUUGUAAAUACAACUAAAUGGAUGCUUCUUUCAGCUACUCCCUUAUUUUGAAAGGCCUGCCACAGCAGAUGGAUGCACAUAUUUGAUUUGGCACAGUUUUACCCCAGAUUGCCAUCCUGACACAGCCCUCCCAGCUAUUUGUGUCUCCUCCUGGUCCCAAAGCAGGGAUCUUUUGCGUGUUAGACUAAUAUGUUAACCACUACACUAUGGAACCACUAAUAGCUUUGUAAAAUUGGUUAUUUUAAUUCCAUAAGAAAAUAAAGCAUUCUGCCUGCUUCAUGGGAUGUUAAGCAGCUGAUAGGGAUUUGAACUUCACUGCCUCUGGGGACCAGUAAUUGCAAAGCUGGUACGUAAGAGCCUAUUUUGUGCUUUUGUGGAUAAUCUGAUCCCAAACUUCCAAGUGGAUCAGAGCAAAGUUUACCUCUAUUAAACCCAGCAUAAGGCGCUCAAACAUUCUUAACACUGAAAAUAAAUUCAUUUGUAAAUAACUGUGACACUUUCCCAUGACACUUAAAGACCAGACCUGUCCAAACCAGACUAUAGCUCACAACACUGAAACACCUCGAAACAUCACAGCAACCACGUGACCCUGUAAACAUUUCUGUUUGUUUAAAUCAAAAUAAAUACGAUUUUUUUUUUAAAUAAAUAAUGACUUGUUGUAAUAAAAAAAAUAAAAUAAAAAAAAAUAAAAAAAAGAUAAAUCAAAAUAAAUAAAAAAGACAGUUUUAAAGUUUUAAUUGACUGGUUCACCUGUGUUAUAUGCAAAGCAUAUGUCACUAUAAACAUGAUUUAAUUUGGCAUUAGAUGCAUGAGGUGUUUUAUACCUCCUAUUAAAUGCUUUAAUUGGUUUUUCAGGAAUAAAACAACAGAUGUUUAAAGUCGACACAAAGAUUCUUUUUGGAUUUAACCCAAAUAACCUUCAAGUCCUUCUUGCACUGGCAUGCUUCCUAUUUAUAUACCUAUAAAGCUAGUCAAUAGAAACAGCUGCUGAACUCACAGAAAACUUUUUUAAUGAGUCUUGGAUCCAAUAUGUGCACGUUGAGGGCUUUGUGUACAAAAGUCUAAGUAGUUGAAGAUGUAAUUUGUCAUUAGAGUUACCACAUUUUUUAUUAGUCACUGUAAAAAACACA
ensembl:lncRNA